UGGGGAAUAUUGGACAAUGGGCGAAAGCCUGAUCCAGCCAUGCCGCGUGUGUGAAGAAGGCCUUUUGGUUGUAAAGCACUUUAAGCGAGGAGGAGGCUACUUGGAUUAAUACUCUAGGAUAGUGGACGUUACUCGCAGAAUAAGCACCGGCUAACUCUGUGCCAGCAGCCGCGGUAAUACAGAGGGUGCGAGCGUUAAUCGGAUUUACUGGGCGUAAAGCGUGCGUAGGCGGCUUUUUAAGUCGGAUGUGAAAUCCCUGAGCUUAACUUAGGAAUUGCAUUCGAUACUGGGAAGCUAGAGUAUGGGAGAGGAUGGUAGAAUUCCAGGUGUGGCGGUGAAAUGCGUAGAGAUCUGGAGGAAUACCGAUGGCGAAGGCAGCCAUCUGGCCUAAUACUGACGCUGAGGUACGAAAGCAUGGGGAGCAAACAGG
rnacentral:rRNA from 1 species